AUGGAAGGUUGUAAUUCAAUAGAAUCUCUGACAUAUCUAUUCUUUGAAUGCAGUGUGGUUUUUCAGGUUUGGUCUGUAAUUUUCAAUUGGUUAGGAGUCCUCACUGUCUCACAUCGCAACGUUGUUGUGUUUUAUGAUAUAUUGUCUAGAAAUUCACUUUUUUAUUUUAUUUCACCAAAGAAAAUACCCACUCCUCUCUCUACUUGUAUGUUAUUACUAGUACUAGCAAAACUAGAAACAACCAUGCAAAAUAACAAAAAGCCUAUUGAUACAAUAAUAUCCUAA